UUGCCCUAGUAACGGCGAGUGAAGCGGCAACAGCUCAAAUUUGAAAUCUGGCGUCUUUGGCGUCCGAGUUGUAAUUUGCAGAGGGCGCUUUGGCAUUGGCAGCGGUCCAAGUUCCUUGGAACAGGACGUCACAGAGGGUGAGAAUCCCGUACGUGGUCGCUAGCCUUUACCGUGUAAAGCCCCUUCGACGAGUCGAGUUGUUUGGGAAUGCAGCUCUAAAUGGGAGGUAAAUUUCUUCUAAAGCUAAAUACUGGCCAGAGACCGAUAGCGCACAAGUAGAGUGAUCGAAAGAUGAAAAGCACUUUGGAAAGAGAGUUAAAAAGCACGUGAAAUUGUUGAAAGGGAAGCGCUUGCAGCCAGACUUGCCUGUAGUUGCUCAUCCGGGUUUUUACCCGGUGCACUCUUCUAUAGGCAGGCCAGCAUCAGUUUGGGCGGUUGGAUAAAGGUCUCUGUCAUGUACCUCUCUUCGGGGAGAACUUAUAGGGGAGACGACAUGCAACCAGCCUGGACUGAGGUCCGCGCAUCUGCUAGGAUGCUGGCGUAAUGGCUGUAAGCGGCCCGUCUUGAAACACGGACCAAGGAGUCUAACAUCUAUGCGAGUGUUUGGGUGUCAAGCCCGAGCGCGUAAUGAAAGUGAACGGAGGUGGGAACCUUUCGGGGUGCACCAUCGACCGAUCCUGAUGUCUUCGGAUGGAUUUGAGUAAGAGCAUAGCUGUUGGGACCCGAAAGAUGGUGAACUAUGCUUGAAUAGGGUGAAGCCAGAGGAAACUCUGGUGGAGGCUCGCAGCGGUUCUGACGUGCAAAUCGAUCGUCAAAUUUGGGCAUAGGGGCGAAAGAC
rnacentral:rRNA from 1 species